rnacentral:rRNA from 1 species
CCUACGGGCGGCAGCAGUGGGGAAUAUUGGGCAAUGGGCGCAAGCCUGACCCAGCAACGCCGCGUGAAGGAAGAAGGCUUUCGGGUUGUAAACUUCUUUUCUCAGGGACGAAGCAAGUGACGGUACCUGAGGAAUAAGCCACGGCUAACUACGUGCCAGCAGCCGCGGGAAUACGUCGGUGGCAAGCGUUAUCCGGAUUUACUGGGUGUAAAGGGCGUGUAGGCGGGACUGCAAGUCAGAUGUGAAAACCAUGGGCUCAACCUAUGGCCUGCUUUUGAAACUGUGUUGCUAGAGUGCAGGAGAGGUAAGUGGAAUUCGUGGUGUAGCGGUGAAAUGCGUAGAUAUUGGGAAGAACACCGGUGGCGAAGGCGGCUUACUGGACUGUAAAUGACGCUGAGGCUCGAAAGCGUGGGGAGCAAACAGGAUUAGAUACCCCUGUAGUC